GAUGAACGCUGGCUACAGGCUUAACACAUGCAAGCCGAGGGGCAGCAUUAAAGUUUGCUUGCAAACUUUAGAUGGCGACCGGCGCACGGGUGAGUAACACGUAUCCAACCUGCCGAUAACUCGGGGAUAGCCUUUCGAAAGAAAGAUUAAUACCCGAUGGUAUAUUUUCACCGCAUGGUGAAACUAUUAAAGAAUUUCGGUUAUCGAUGGGGAUGCGUUCCAUUAGGCAGUUGGUGAGGUAACGGCUCACCAAACCUUCGAUGGAUAGGGGUUCUGAGAGGAAGGUCCCCCACAUUGGAACUGAGACACGGUCCAAACUCCUACGGGAGGCAGCAGUGAGGAAUAUUGGUCAAUGGGCGCGAGCCUGAACCAGCCAAGUAGCGUGAAGGAUGACGGCCCUAUGGGUUGUAAACUUCUUUUAUAUGGGAAUAAAGUUUGGUAUGUAUACCAUUUUGUAUGUACCAUAUGAAUAAGGAUCGGCUAACUCCGUGCCAGCCGCCGCGGUAAGAC
rnacentral:rRNA from 1 species